rnacentral:rRNA from 1 species
UACGUAGGGGGCAAGCGUUGUCCGGAUUUAUUGGGCGUAAAGAGCGUGUAGGCGGCCAUGUAGGUCCGUUGUGAAAACUCGAGGCUCAACCUCGAGACGCCGAUGGAAACCAUGUGGCUAGAGUCCGGAAGAGGAGAGUGGAAUUCCUGGUGUAGCGGUGAAAUGCGCAGAUAUCAGGAAGAACACCCGUGGCUAAGGCGGCUCUCUAGUACGGUACUGACGCUGAGACGCGAAAGCGUGGGGAGCGAGCAGG